rnacentral:misc_RNA from 1 species
AUUAAAUACAUUAAUAUUUGAUGUAUAGUGAACCAAUGGUUUACACCCCUAGUAAGGUGAUAAAGAAAUAAGCAAUGAAUAAACAUUUUCAAGACUUUCAUAUCUCAGAAAUGCCUAUGUGGUAAGGUAACUCUAGAGAAGCAUCAUGCUAAGAUACAACAAAUUCAUCAUAAAGAAUAGAUUAAUAUAACAUAAGAGCAUAAGCUCUACUAAUAAAACUACGAAUUUAAGAGUAACACUCUACCAGCUGACACCUGAUACAAUCUAAUUUCCAGCAGCCUUCUUCUUCUCAUUCAUGUAUUCUUCCAUCUCCUUCAACCACAAGUCUGCAAACUCACAGUUCUUCCAUGCAUCAAACCAAGGCCCUCCACGAGUAUAAUGUAUUGCUUUAGGAAAUGUCGUUGAGUCGCCCUCCACAACCCUNCCCUGUUAUGGCCCUCAAAAAAAUUCCACACAAAGGGUAUUGACCCAAUUUCUUCAUCCCAAAGCCACUGAAAUCUAUGAAGAAAAGCACCCGUUUGCGUAUUCACAACCUCAGGUGUCAGCACCUUGUUCUUUGGGUGGCCGCAAUUGUACAACACCAUAGAAGACCAAUUCUUCCUUGGAUACACCGUUUGCACUGCCCCAUCCAUUUUUGUGGUCUCUUUUGGGGUAUAGUCAUGUUGCACACACAUAAUAGCAUAUUUAUCAUCAAUCAAAUCACCCAAUUCCUUAAUGUCAGCCAAGUAUAGGAAAUCACAAUCGACAAACAUUGCCCAACCCUCAUAGUUGGCCAAAUAUGGGGUCAAGAAACGGCUGAAGGAGAACUCUGUGCUUUCCAAUUGGCCCCUCUCACGCCAAUACAGAUUUUUCUUUCUAAGUUCUGAUUGAAUGAUGGGGUUGAUCUCAACAGGAAUCGAAGACCGCUUCAUGAUGGAAUGGUGACAGACCUCAUACGCAACAUCUUCACGAGGAUCAUAACCCACAAAGAUCUUGAAAGGUUUGUCACUUCUUAGGUCUCCAUUUGUACUUACCGUGUGAACCUCACCAUUGGUUAUGGUCAUUGUAGCAGUAGCUAAUUAUGGAUCAGAAUCACAGAUUUGACGCUUCUACUGGAUAAUGGGAAAUGCAGAUCUUGAAGAAGAGAAUUCAAGAAUGCAAAUUAUUGGCGGUGCCGGUGAGGCAAUUGCCUUUGCCUUUGCCCUUGCCACUACUAAUAAUAUCAAGAGGAUUUAUUCUAUGGAAUUCAAUUCUGUUCAAAGGUUUUGCACAGAGAGAGAGAGAGAGAGAGAGA